CUGUUCCUUCCUUCUCAGGGCGGAGGAGCCCUCCUGUGCCUGACCUGAGAUGUUCAAAGUCUCCGGUCCAGAGAACCUUCCCUCUUGCUGUAAAGUCUCCUCUUUGUGAAGUAAGCUUCUCAAAGCCCGUCCUUACCUGCGUUGGGAUUUGUUUUAUUUUUGUUUUGUACAUUUGUGACAUUCUGUUUGAUUAAAUUGGUUGACAAUCACACAAAUUCCUUAACCACAAUGAGGAAUGCAUGAUGGAGGCUCACUGUGGCAGACCUCAUCACGGCCUCAUGGACUGGAGCUCACGGCACACCCUCACGGGACAAUUGGGGAGAUGGUCACGAAACUGAAGGAUCAAGGUUAAGGGAGCCAGCACGGAGCACACUCACAUCUCAAGGAGGGUU
rnacentral:lncRNA from 1 species